CAGCCGCCGCGGUAAUACGUAGGUGGCAAGCGUUGUCCGGAAUUAUUGGGCGUAAAGGGCUCGCAGGCGGUUUCUUAAGUCUGAUGUGAAAGCCCCCGGCUCAACCGGGGAGGGUCAUUGGAAACUGGGAAACUUGAGUGCAGAAGAGGAGAGUGGAAUUCCACGUGUAGCGGUGAAAUGCGUAGAGAUGUGGAGGAACACCAGUGGCGAAGGCGACUCUCUGGUCUGUAACUGACGUUGAGGAGCGAAAGCGUGGGGAGCGAACAGGAUUAGAUACCCGCGUAGUCCCUGUCUCUUAUAC
rnacentral:rRNA from 1 species